CUAUUGUUAUUUUAAUAUGACCCAAUAGUCUUUGAUAAUACUUAUCCAGUGUAAGAUAUUAUCAUUAUUAGUUAUUUUUAUUGGUACAUAGACUAUAAAUACUUGAAAUGAGAGCUGGGAUUAAAGCAUCAUAUGAGAAACAAUAAUUUUUAGAACACUGAAUUGAGUACAAACACAAAAGCUUGCAAGGAGAGUAAAAUAAUAAGGAAAGGUUUAAAAGGGUAACACAUUGUUAUCUCAUUCUACAUUUACAAUCAUAAAGAUGUUUUUUUUCUUAACCACUUCCUCACCAACUUAAUCACCUUUAUAACAAAGUCAACAUUGUAUAUAUUUCUGGUAGAUUUCAUAAGCUGCCAGAAGUUUCCUGGCAAUACCUUGUAUUAAAAAGAGCAGGUGAUACCAAGGCCAAGUAUAUGUUCCUGAUAUAAAUAGCAGGAAGUCUAUGAAGUGUUUGUUUUAAGAAGAGUAGGUUUGAAACAUAUGCUUGAAUAUAUAGAAGCACAAUACAUUCUCCAGUGCAGUAUAACACCUGUGUAGAACAGCUAAGCCAUAUGUUUCAGAAAUUAUACUUUGAAAAUUACUAUGUAGAUGUCAAAAAGGAAAAUGCACAUUUACAAAAAACUAAACACGUUUGCUAUUAACACAACUCAACUGUAUGUUUUCUUCAAAUCCUUUUUAAAUGCAACAAGUUUUUAAAAAUCUAAGAUAUGCCAAAACUUCUUCUAAAACCAUUAACAUAUAAUAAGCCAAAAAUCUAAGAAGUCUAUUGUCAAAAAGAUGAUACUAAAAUUUCUAUGCAACAUUGAGAUAUAAAUCAACUCAGUUUUAAUGCAACUCACAAAAUGUAGUUAUCAGAAACUCCAUGUGUCACAAAAUAGCUAUUGGCAGAUAUAUUUUCCAUUGAAAUUUUGUUGGUCUCAGGGAAAGAGCUUUCUACUCUUUUUAGCUGAAGAUCUAACACUGUGUUAAGGUUGUUCAUGUUGUACGUAUGGUUUAGGGUUAGGGUGUGCACAGGAAAGUAAGGUAAGAGUGAGAUGUCUCUCAGGCUGCUGUGUGCGACUGGAGAGUUUCCUACCUGGAAUAUAUCAUAGAGCAGAGGAAGACUUAAAGUUGGAAUAAAUGGAAAUACUAAGUUUGAUAAUAUUACCAAAAAAGGCAGCAUUGUAUCUUCAGCUGUAUUUAACACUAGCUGCUACCCUAAUGAUUUGAUCUAUGCUGCACUAAGAGCUAAAAUUUAACUGAAAGGAUAAUUUGAUUGAAUUGAAAGAUUUAUCAUAAUGUGCUCCUAAAUAAAUACACUCUUUGAGCCUAUUUUUAAUGACUAGUUUGUGCACGCUCAGUCGUUUCAGUCAUGUCAGACUCUUUGUGACCCUAUGGACUGCAGCCCAUCAGGCUCCUCUGUCCACGGGAGUCUCCAGACAAGAGUACAGGAGUGGGUAGCCAUGCCCUCCUCCAGGGGAUCUUCCUGACCCAGGGAUGGGACACGCACAUCCAGCUUUGCAGAUGGAUUCUUUACUGCUGAGGCACAGGGGAAGCCCCAGUGACUAGUUUGCUAAGUCACUUCAGUCGUGUACGACUCUGUGCAACCCCAGAGACGGCAGCCCACCCGUCCCUGGGGUUCUCCAGGCAAG
rnacentral:lncRNA from 1 species